UGGGGAAUCUUGGACAAUGGGCGCAAGCCUGAUCCAGCCAUGCCGCGUGGAUGAUGAAGGCCUUAGGGUUGUAAAAUCCUUUUCGCCGAGGACGAUAAUGACGGUACUCGGAGAAGAAGCUCCGGCUAACUUCGUGCCAGCAGCCGCGGUAAUACGAAGGGGGCUAGCGUUGUUCGGAUUUACUGGGCGUAAAGCGCAUGUAGGCGGGCCGUUAAGUUAGGGGUGAAAUCCCGAGGCUCAACCUCGGAACUGCCUCUAAAACUGGCGGCCUGGACCUAAGUAGAGGCAAGUGGAAUUGCGAGUGUAGAGGUGAAAUUCGUAGAUAUUCGCAGGAACACCAGUGGCGAAGGCGACUUGCUGGACUUAUGGUGACGCUGAGAUGCGAAAGCGUGGGGAGCAAACAGGAUUAGAUACCCGCGUAGUCCCUGAG
rnacentral:rRNA from 1 species